rnacentral:lncRNA from 1 species
UUUAACGACGUCGUUCCCGUUCUAUAUAUAUUUGUUAUAAAAUAAUUUUAAAGGAAAACAAAGAAAGAACCUUAAGCCCCCAUAUCCCAUUUUCGGUUCUUUGGAAUCGACUGAAGACCAGGCCACCUCCCACCGUUCUCAGCCGAACAGCAGCCCCUUUCAACUACGAUUUUGACAGAACAGGUGGGGGCGACGGCGGACGCGAGAUGCAGGUAAGGUUUCCCUCGCCUUUUCCUUUUUUUAUUUUUUAUAUAUAGUCUUAUAUAUAUAUAUACAUGAUUAAAUAAAAAGGAAAUAGAUAGAAACAAAUCAAAGAAACAGAAUGAAAAAGAGAAAAGAAGAAAACACCUUAUCUUCAAAUUUUUUAUUGAUUCUUCCAAAUUUUUUUCAAUCGUUUUUUUCUCCCCCCUUUUACAGUAUAUUCGGCUUUAGCCGAAAGAAAAGAAGAAAAAACAUAAAAGAAAAUCCCCUCCCUUUUACAAUUCUUGGCUUCUGGCUUAUAUAGCCAAAUACCUCUUGGAUACUAUUUUUUUUGUUACGUUAUUGCUGUUGCGUUUUUUCUCUCUUUUCUUGCAGGCAUCGACCGAGUUUGCAGUUUUUUGCCGUUUUGGUGCAAGACUGUCGGGCUUUGGGCGGUGUGCACGCUGAGGGCGUACAUGGGGCAGGCUGGAGAAGGCGUACGGCCGCUAGGGGUUGGAUGCGGCGCGAGGAAAGGAGGGAACCCUAGGGUUUUCUAAUGCUGCUUAAUCUUUUGAGGCCUAUUGGGCCGUUUAGAGUUUUGGGCUGGUGAUUGUUAUUGGGCCUAGGGUUAUUGGGCUAGGAUUUGGGUAGGUUUUGUUUAAUUUUGUAAUGGGCCCGGGUGAAAUUGGGCUUCUACAACAUAUAUAAUAAAUAUAAUUACAUGUUAUUAUUUAUUACUAUAGAAUAUUAAUUCAAAUUAAAAGUGAUAUAAUUUAAUUAAAGUUUUUUGAGCUUAGUUAUUAAAUAAAGUAUGAGUCAAAUAUGUGUAGAUACUCUAGUAACUAAUUUUUAAUGGAUGAUGGGCUGGUUAGAAAUUCG